UCCGGAUUGAACAUUUUCGAGGAGGAGGGAGAAUGUGUAAAUGUAAAUUUUUCUUUAUAUAUAGAGACAAAAAUUCCAAUAUGGUUAAAUAUUUUCGAUUUAGAAUACUUUUAAGUGAGUCUUCUAAUAGAAAAAAUCCUAGACGACUUACUUGUAACGGGAGUUAGAAGACUUUCAGAGAAGUCUUCUAACCGCCGGACGACUUAUGUGUUAGUAGUCUAGACCCAAAACAUAACCCCUAAACUAAAUUAACUAACUAAACACUUUGUAAAAUCAAAUUAAACUUAAAAAAGUGUUUACUAUACACAGAAAUAAACACAUAUAGGUAAAAUUGAAAUUUUUCAAAAAACAUUUAAGCUUUCCAAAAUCUAACCCUAAGAAUACAUACAACACUACAACAUAUGUUGUCAAACUCUAAGCCAAAAAAUAU